AACAAACGCUGGCGGCGUGCCUAAUACAUGCAAGUCGCACGAGGUAGCAAUACCUAGUGGCGCACGGGUGAGUAACGCGUGGAUAAUCUGCCUUUGAGUGGGGGAUAACUAGUUGAAAGAUUAGCUAAUACUGCAUAAGACAACAGGAACUGAGGUUCUAGGGGUCAAAGGUUUUUCGCUCAUAGAUGAGUCCGCGUGAGAUUAGCUAGUUGGUGAGGUAACGGCUCACCAAGGCGACGAUCUCUAACUGGUCUGAGAGGAUGAUCAGUCACACUGGAACUGAGACACGGUCCGUGCGCCUACGGGAGGCAGCAGUAGGGAAUAUUGCACAAUGGAGGAAACUCUGAUGCAGCGACGCCGCGUGAGUGAUGAAGGCUUUCGGGUCGUAAAGCUCUGUCGCAGGGGAAUAACACAAUGAAUGUACCCUGUAAGAAAGGAUCGGCUAACUUCGUGCCAGCAGCCGCAGUAA
rnacentral:rRNA from 1 species